AAUUCUCAACCAUGAGUCUUGACUCGUGGCUUGGAGUUGGGGGUUUGCUGGCGGCGAAAAGCUGUCAGCUCUCCUGAAAUGCAUUAGCAAAGGGGUGGCAAGUCUGACGUGCACGGCCUUCGACGUGAUAAUGAUCGUCGUGGCUGGAGCGUCGAGACGUGCAGGAAUCGUCCUUGCUUCCAAUCCUACAUGUCCCUAUGACUACUAGUGCCAACGAACGUCUUGGGUCUAUUUCGAA
rnacentral:misc_RNA from 2 species